rnacentral:rRNA from 1 species
AACGAACGCUGGCGGCAGGCUUAACACAUGCAAGUCGAACGAAGUCUUCGGGGUUAGUGGCGGACGGGUGAGUAACACGUGGGAACGUGCCUUUAGGUUCGGAAUAGCUCCUGGAAACGGGUGGUAAUGCCGAAUGUGCCCUUCGGGGGAAAGAUUUAUCGCCUUUAGAGCGGCCCGCGUCUGAUUAGUUAGUUGGUGAGGUAAUGGCUCACCAAGGCGACGAUCAGUAGCUGGUCUGAGAGGAUGACCAGCCACAUUGGGACUGAGACACGGCCCAAACUCCUACGGGAGGCAGCAGUGGGGAAUCUUGCGCAAUGGGGGAAAGCCUGACGCAGCCAUGCCGCGUGGAUGAUGAAGGUCUUAGGAUUGUAAAAUCCUUUCACCGGUGAAGAUAAUGACUGUAGCCGGAGAAGAAGCCCCGGCUAACUUCGUGCCAGCCGCCGCCGUAAUAC